rnacentral:lncRNA from 1 species
UUUUUUUUCUACUGCACAGCAUACUGACCCAGUUACACAUACAUGUAUACAUUCUUUUUCCUCACAUUACAUGUUCCAUCAUAAUUGACUAGACAGAGUUCCCAGUUCUACACAGCAGGAACCCAUUGCUGAUCCAUCCCGAAGGCAAUAUUCUGCAUUUAUUUACCCCAAGCUCCCAGUCCCUCCCACUCCCUCCCCUUCCCCCUCGGCAACCACAAGUCUAUUCCCCACAUCCACGAUUUUCUUUUCUGUGGAAAGGUUCCUUUGUGCCACAUAUUAGAUUCCAGAUGUAAGUGAUAUCACAUGGUAUUUGUCUUUUUCUGACUCACUUCACUCAAGAUGAGAGUCUCUAGUUCCAUCCAUGUUGCUGCAAGUGGCAUUAUUUUGUUCUUUUUUAUGGCCGAGUAGUAUUCCAUUGUGUAGAUAUACCACAUCUUCCUGAUCCAAUCAUCUAUCAGUGAACAUCUGGGCGGAUUCCAUGUCUUGGCUAUUGUGAAUAGUGCUGCAAUGAACAUGUGGGUGCCUAUAUCUUUUUUAAGUAGAGUUUUGUCCAGAUAUAUGCCCAAGAGUGGGAUUGCUGGGUCAUAUGGUAGUUAAAAUAUUGCAUUUUAANCUGGGCACCCAGGCACAGCUAGUCAGACACCAGGCCCUGGGGGACUCAGUGCUGCAGCACAAAUACAAAGAGGAGGUUCAUGCCAGCGUGUAUCCAAAUCAAGAAAAGUUCCAAGAGGAGAAUGGGUCCUUACAGGACAUGUGGGGCUUUCAGAGGCAGGAGUGGAGGGGUGGGAAGGGUGUCCAGCCAGAGGGAACAGCAUGAGCAAAGGCACAGAGUGUGAAAACCUCACAUGGAGUGAGUGGCAGUGAGUGAUGCAGCAUGAAUGGGGCCACCAGCCACCCCACCCAGGACAGGUUUCUGAGCAAGAGGGAACCUUCAGGAAAUGCUGUGUCUGUGCCCAGACCACCUGAGAAGAGGCAGGAACAGAGAGAGGAGGAAGGACACACGCCUCCUUCUCUCGAGCAGCAAGCAGGGGCUCCACACCACCCCCACCAUGUCCACAGCCACCUGUGCAACAGCCCUGCCCCCUGCAGGCAGGAGCAAGUCUGUGGGAUCCCCAGCCCCGGAGGAUGGCUGCUCCCCAGGCAGGAGAGGCUGCUCAGAAGGCCCAGUGCAGGGGGAGUGGGCAGGCAGGUGCUCUUAAUUACCGUGAUCACUCAAAACACACCAGCAGCGAUAACUUCCUCUAGACCCCUGUCCUGCUCCCUGGAUGUUUUGGCUGUUUUGCCAUGUGGCCAGAAUUAAAACACAGCUCGGGGCAGGGGUGCUGCAGAUGGGAGUGGGCAGGUCCCUGAGCAAUGGGGAGUAGACCUGGCCUGCUCCAGCCCCUCCCAGGCCCCUAGUCAGGCAGAAGGCCUGGGAAGCACUCUCACCCCCACUGCUAGGUUCCUGGUGGAAGAAGAACACCCUUCAGGCACACAGCACCCAUGGAGAAUGACCCACCAGGGACAGGACAGGCUGCCACACCCUAUGCAGAGAGAGGAGUGACACUUUUAGCAGCCUUAGAUGGGGGAAGUGACAGUUCAGAGCCUGGGCACAUGGAAUGUGGGGGGCUGAAGGCUGAAAAUCCUGGCUCCUCCUCCCACUGAGGGUGGGGGCCACUCCCCUCCCCUUGAACCUGGCCAUGUAGCAGACGUGACCAUGUGGGAGUCCCAAGGUCAAGCCACAAGAAGCCUCACAUCUCCCACCUGGCCUUGGAGCACCAGCUCUGGAGUCCCUGGGCCACCAUGUAAGAAGCCCCCUCUCCCUGGAGGCCCCCGCGCCAGAGAGGCCACUCACAAACACUCUGGCCAAGCCUCCAGAGGCUCCACAAGUUCCCAGAUACAUGAGGAAAGAUGUUUUGGACCCUCCAGACUACUCCAUCCACUAUUUGAAUAUCACUGACAACACAAGGAACAGAAUGCCAAACCAGCUAAGCCCUGCCCUGAGCCUCUAGAUUUCAGAGUAAUUUGUACUCAGCCACAGAUAACUAGAACAUUGAGUCAGUCACUCACUCACUCCCUCACUCAUUCAUCCAACACAUACUCAUUACAACCUACCCUGAAGCAGGGCUCCUUACAAAAACAGUGGAGACAAAUAACUCACUCCCCAUGUGCUGAAGGGAACUUCUGGGCUGGUUCCCCAAGCCCACCCAGUUUGUCUGGGUCCACACCCAUGUACCCCUCUCCCUGAUCAGCAGCUCUCCCUCCUGGAACCCUCAUUUCUGGGGUCACUGCCAACACUCCGCCGUCCAGUCCCCACCCUGCCUUCACUCUCUCUUGGUGAGGAGAGAUACAUAAGAUGUUCGGCUUUGCAAGCAGGUUUAUUUUUUUCUAAAAGGACUCCUAGAUC